CAACCCUUAAGCCUAGCUUAGUGUUGGGAGCCUACUGUAUUGUAGCUCCCCAAAUCCAACGGCGGAUCUGUGGUAUCCUCUGAGCGUAGUAAUUUUUAUCUCGCUUUUGUCAGGUGCCGCAGCUCUCAGCCGCUAAACCCCCCAAUUUUUUAAU
rnacentral:misc_RNA from 1 species